GGACAGGUGGCUUUAUAAGAAGAGGAAAAGAGACCUGAGUUAGCACACUCAAACUCCUCACCAUGCGAUGCUCUGUGCCUCCUUGGGACUCUGCAGAGAGUCCCUACCAAUAAGAAGGCUCUCACCAGAUGUGGCCCCUCAACUUUGGACUGCUUAGCUUCCGUAACUGGAAAUGCCACAAGACUAGGCCGUGCAACAUUUCCGCAGUGCUCCUCGCUACAAAGACAUUCCCCUAAGGCUGGUGGGCAACUCAACACUCAGCUCAGUACGUGGUCAGCUCGUCCUCCAUAGGAGCCUUAUGCCUUGGUGAGUCUUGCUCUGUCACCCAGGCUGGAGUGCAGUGGUGUGAUCUCAGCUCACCACAACCUUCACAUCCUGGGUUCAAGCGAUUCUUGUGCCUCAGCCUCCCAAGCAGCUGGGACCACAGAGGAGAUCUCUGAAGAAAUUGCUGAUGAAAGUCCAACAGGCUCUUCCAGUUUGUCUGGUCGGUCACAUUUGCUGAAACCUGGAGGAAUUGUUAGUGGAAGCUCAACAGGCCUGACUCAGUCUGACUGUCCAUUCUUCUGGAAGCUGCAGAGAAAAGAAACCUGGAAACCUUAUAUGCUGACAAAAAGGGACACAAUUGGAUAUGAUGGUUAUUUUACCAAGGUUUUGAAAUGUCGUGCUUUCAAAUAUAAACAGACUGCUUUAAGGAAUCGAAGUUGACUUAUAGAGCCAAUAAAAGCCCUGCAGGAAAGCUGGCCUCAUACUUUGUCUACACAGUCUCUGUACAGGUUUCCUGACCUGUGCUUCCAAGUUGUCUGAGGAGCCUUAUGAAGAGGCUCACGUGGUGAGGAACGGAAAUUUACUGAAUAAGCUCAGAGGGAGAUUCUCCAGCUCCUUCAGAUGACUGCAGCCCUGGCCAACAAUCUGACUAUAAUUUCAUGAGAGAGUCAGAGAGGGAACCAUCCAGCUAAGCCACUCUCAGAUUCCUGACCCACAGAAAUUACGUGAGACUAAUGCUUGUUUAAAGCUGCUAAGUUUUAGGAUAAUUCAUUAUGUAGCAUUAGAUAACUAAUAUUAGUUCUUCUCUGUAUUUAAAUUUUUUCCCCCAAAAAAGAGAAAAAGCAUCUCUAUGUAAA
rnacentral:lncRNA from 1 species